UCAGAAUGGAGGUAUGAGCCAGAGAUGAAGACAACAUUUCUAAUCCAAACUGGAACACUCUCCCAUCUUCCAUACUGAUGCUGGACUGACAUCACUGGCCUUGGUCUAGAUACUGGUCCCAAAGCAGCUAAGUGUUGGUCACUGUCAACUACUCAACUACUCCUUGCACAGAGCAAUAACAGGAAGACCAUCUGGAGCCAUCUUUUCCAGCCACAGCUAGAAGUCAGAGGACAGACUGACCACCAGGCAGAAGCAGGCUGGACUUCUAAGGCCCUGCCUUGGUCACAGGAGCCAUGGGAAGCAUGUGAACAGUGACCAGCCAUUGUGGGGUUUUUCCAGAAGGACACUCUGAUUCUUCUGGUUCAGUCUCCUAUCUCCUGUCUAGCCUUCCUCCUGGCAUUACUUCCAGGCCUCUGCUGGCAGUGGUACUUUUGGGACUGAUUGUGAUGGUGAUUUUCUGUUUAAUGGAUGAGUGAGCAUUUCCAUAAAAUGCAUCUCAUAUUACUAACAUCACUAAUUUCUUCGCUUUCUUGCAUCCAAUCAGUCAUUCCACUUCAUCUGUGGAUUUCAUUAAUGGGCCAUUGACUCCCUCUUCCAGAUCAUUAGUGAAGAUGUCAGAUUCUGACUGGACCUAAUACCAGUUCCCAUGGCUCAAAGCUGGCUUCCCUGAGAGCUCCCACGGGAGGCAUUCAUCACUGCUGGUGCUUUAUGGAAACCAGCACGUUACUGGAUUGGCAGUGGAACAUACGUAGACAGCGAAGACUGCAGUUGAGAGAAGAUGAUGUUCGCCAUGGCUGGAAGAGCAGGUCCGGUCCUUCCCCAGAAGAAAUAUCAAGAGAAAGGCUCUAAUGGCCUGGAAAGCAGAGACAGGAGAAGACUGAGGUUCUAGGUAAAUUCCUGGAAUGAGAAAUAAAAGUAGGUGCAUGGAGGACUCUGGGUCUCGGACAUGAAGUGCAAGACCAGAAUGAGUGAGCCUGACUUACCAUAUAGCCCCAGAAUGUGAGCCAGAGGUAGUAAUUUAGCUGCCCUCUGCCUCAGAACCCUCAGGUGAAAGACAGGUCGUCAGAAGAGAGGGGAAGGAGGGAUUUGGAUGAAAAUGACAGAAUUUUAUACACUACGAAGCUGACACGAAGCUGCAAAGCACAGAGACUGAUAAUAAGGCUCAAGCAUCUGAGUGUGGGCAAUUUUGGUCCAAACUGUCAAUUAUCCAAUUACGUGAUGUAGUGUGACUUCCUAACAGCUGUGUGACAAAGACCCUGGGGAUUUAA